rnacentral:tRNA from 1 species
CAGGGAGACAACAAAAUGUUAAAUAUUAAUUUUGUCACCUUAGGUCGAUCGGUAUCUCACAUUCUUAAUUUAUUUAAGAAUUUUAUUUCCUAAGUUUUUCUAGGUCACACCCAUUAUUUUUCCUGGGCCAUUAGCUCAGGUGGUUAGAGCGCACCCCUGAUAAGGGUGAGGUCCCUGGUUCAAGUCCAGGAUGGCCCAUAUCUCUAUGUUGUGGGGGUAUAGCUCAGUUGGUAGAGCGCCUGCUUUGCAAGCAGGGUGUCAGCGGUUCGAGUCCGCUUACCUCCACUGAUUACCACCUCUUCCAUAAUUUAUAGAAGGGAAAUUUUGAGUUGUGAUCUAAUUCUGAACGAAUCUAGCUUCCUAAUUACACUUAUUAAGAUGCUGGACUCAUUGAAUUAAUUUCAUUGUUUUCAGAGAACCUUGACAACUGCAUAGAUUAUUUUUAAAGACAAUAAGCAUCUUUAAUGAUGCAGAUUUAUUAUUUGUGCAAAUGCAUUAAUAACAAUUCUAUUAAGCUGAUGCUUCAAAAUUUUGAAGUUAUU